rnacentral:rRNA from 1 species
AAUAGGGCGGCACCUUGACGGUACCUCACCAGAAAGCCCCGGCUAACUACGUGCCAGCAGCCGCGGUAAUACGUAGGGGGCAAGCGUUGUCCGGAAUUAUUGGGCGUAAAGCGCGCGCAGGCGGUUCCUUAAGUCUGAUGUGAAAGGCCACAGCUCAACUGUGGAGGCCCAUUGGAAACUGGGGAACUUGAGGACAGAAGAGGAGAGCGGAAUUCCACGUGUAGCGGUGAAAUGCGUAGAUAUGUGGAGGAACACCAGUGGCGAAGGCGGCUCUCUGGUCUGUAACUGACGCUGAGGCGCGAAAGCAUGGGUAGCGAACAGGAUUAGAUACCCUGGUAGUCCACGCCGUAAACGUUGAGUGCUAGGUGUUAGGGGGUCCAACCCUUAGUGCUGCAGUUAACGCAAUAAGCACUCCGCCUGGGGAGUACGGCCGCAAGGCUGAAACUCAAAGGAAUUGACGGGGGCCUGCACAAGCGGUGGAGCAUGUGGUUUAAUUCGACGCAACGCGAAGAACCUUACCAGGUCUUGACAUCUUCGGACAGCCCAAGAGAUUGGGUCUUCCCUUCGGGGACCGAAUGACAGGUGGUGCAUGGUUGUCGUCAGCUCGUGUCGUGAGAUGUUGGGUUAAGUCCCGUAACGAGCGCAACCCCUGAUCUUAGUUGCCAGCAUUGAGUUGGGCACUCUAGGAUGACUGCCGGUGACAAACCGGAGGAAGGCGGGGAUGACGUCAAAUCAUCAUGCCCCUUAUGACCUGGGCUACACACGUGCUACAAUGGAUGGUACAAAGGGAAGCCAAACCGCGAGGUCGAGCUAAUCCCAUAAAGCCAUUCUCAGUUCGGAUUGUAGGCUGCAACUCGCCUGCAUGAAGCCGGAAUCGCUAGUAAUCGCGGAUCAGAAUGCCGCGGUGAAUACGUUCCCAGGCC